CCUACGGGGUGCACCAGUGGGGAAUAUUGCACAAUGGGCGCAAGCCUGAUGCAGCCAUGCCGCGUGUAUGAAGAAGGCCUUCGGGUUGUAAAGUACUUUCAGCGGGGAGGAAGGCGAUAAGAUUAAUAACCUUGUCGAUUGACGUUACCCGCAGAAGAAGCACCGGCUAACUCCGUGCCAGCAGCCGCGGUAAUACGGAGGGUGCAAGCGUUAAUCGGAAUUACUGGGCGUAAAGCGCACGCAGGCGGUCUGUCAAGUCGGAUGUGAAAUCCCCGGGCUCAACCUGGGAACUGCAUUCGAAACUGGCAGGCUAGAGUCUUGUAGAGGGGGGUAGAAUUCCAGGUGUAGCGGUGAAAUGCGUAGAGAUCUGGAGGAAUACCGGUGGCGAAGGCGGCCCCCUGGACAAAGACUGACGCUCAGGUGCGAAAGCGUGGGGAGCAAACAGGAUUAGAUACCCGUGUAGUC
rnacentral:rRNA from 1 species